GGGUCAAUGAUGAAAUUUUUGCUUUGUCUCUAGAAAAGUGUUGUCUUAAAAGUCAUGCUCAAUAGAGUUUCGCUGCAGACCC
rnacentral:snoRNA from 1 species